rnacentral:rRNA from 1 species
AGCAGCCGCGGUAAUUCCAGCUCCAAUAGCGUAUAUUAAAGUUGUUGCAGUUAAAAAGCUCGUAGUUGAAUUUCGGGGUUAGUAGGUUGGUCAUGCCUCUGGUAUGUACUGGUCUCACUGAUUCCUCCUUCCUGAUGAACCUUAAUGCCAUUAAUUUGGUGUUUUGGGGAAUUUGGACUGUUACUUUGAAAAAAUUAGAGUGUUUAAAGCAAGCUAACGCUUGAAUACAUUAGCAUGGAAUAAUGAAAUAGGACGUUCGAUCCUAUUUUGUUGGUUUCUAGGAUUGACGUAAUGAUUAAUAGGGAUAGUUGGGGGCAUUAGCAUUCAAUUGUCAGAGGUGAAAUUCUUGGAUUUAUUGAAGACUAACUACUGCGAAAGCAUUUGCCAAGGAUGUUUUCAUUAAUCAAGAACGAAAGUUAGGGGAUCGAAGACGAUCAGAUACCGUCGUAG